rnacentral:rRNA from 1 species
AUUGAACGCUGGCGGCAUGCCUUACACAUGCAAGUCGAACGGCAGCACGGGAGCAAUCCUGGUGGCGAGUGGCGAACGGGUGAGUAAAGUAUCGGAACGUGCUCAGUCGAGGGGGAUAACGUAGCGAAAGUUACGCUAAUACCGCAUACGAUCUAUGGUUGAAAGCGGGGGAUGCCAAGACCUCGCGCGCUUGGAGCGGCCGGUAUUAGUUUAGAUAGUUGGUGGGGUAAAGGCGCACCAAGCCGACGAUCUGUAGCUGAUCUGAGAGGACGACCAGCCAAGCUGGGACUGAGACACGGCCCAGACUCCUACGGGAGGCAGCAGUGGGGAAUUGUGGACAAUGGGCGAAAGCCUGAUCCAGCCAAGCCGCGUGCAGGAUGAAGGCCUUCGGGUUGUAAACUGCUUUUGUACGGAACGAAAAGGUUUGGCCUAAUAAGCUGAGCUCAUGACGGUACCGUAAGAAUAAGCACCGGCUAACUACGUGCCAGCAGCCGCGGUAA